GCCGGGGUGGCCGAGCGGACCAAGGCGUGGGCCUGGAGAGCCCAUGGGGAGGCGCUCCCCGCGCGGGUUCGAAUCCCGCCCCCGGCG
rnacentral:tRNA from 1 species